CCCAGAGCCCCUUGUCUCUCCCUCCCUUUCCCUCUCUCCCUUCAGUACCAGAGCUGAGCGUGAGGCCAGACUCCUGAUGACAGGUGCUGCUGUGGAGGCUGGAGAACCUCAUCCAGGGUUUCCUUGACGACAGAGACCAGCCUGCACCUCUCUGAUGCCUCCAGCCUCCAGAGGAGACGAAGAGGAGCCUCCGGAUCCCAACCACACAGAGGAAGUGAGUGGAUCGCUGCUUCCUCUGUGCUGCCGUUUGGAAGCUUCAUCUCACUGUAGGUCUCCCUCUGAGCAGAAGAGAAGAAGAAUCAAGAAUUAGUUUCAGUAGAAGAUGUAGAAACAUCUGAUACAAGCGUCAAUAAAUCAAGUUAAUGUUAAA